AGGGAAUGUGAGUGUGAUAAAGGAGAAUUUCUGAGCCUGCUGGAUGCAGAGCUCCAGCCUCCUCCUGCCUCCAGAAUAUUCGGUGGCUCCAGAACCAGCUGGAUGGUCACACUGCUCUGUAUUCCUCCACCCACCACAUGGAGAAACACACAAAGACAAGCUUUAAGACCCUCAGACGAGCUGGAUUAAAUCAUUGGUGGCCACAGAACAUUCCUCAGGCUGCAUGAGGAGACUCUCAUCGUUCCUAGGGCUGCCUCAGCUGCCAGCAGUGACAGUGGUGGCUGUGUUGUCCCAGUACUGCCCACAGUGCAGUCCAGCCUGCAAGGAUGGGCACCGUGCAGUCAACCUGCAGCAAGAAAAAGAUGGGAAGUUUGCUCCAAGCAGCAGCCUGAUUGCUGAGAUCUUGCAGAUCGCUGGCUCCUUGGAAACAAGAACCAGACCUGACAGCCCUGGACUUUAUUGAAGGCAUGAGUAUUCUGGUCAAGUACAAGCAAGAAAGCACAGCAGACGCUAAAAUUCAGGUACCUGCUGCCAUCCCCCAGCUGUGUGGAAGCUGCCUGCACUGUGAC
rnacentral:lncRNA from 1 species